CUUUGAGGUCUUCGAAGGCGAGUCCUUCAGAGUUAAUUUGGAUGGUUAGGACCUGCGAAAGGGACGAUCUAUGUCACGCGAUGUCGCCAUUUUCUCUCUUUCUUUCUUCUUUUUCGGGCAGGCGAAGACUCUUGGGAUACGUGAGGCCACAAAGGAUCGUAGCAGUGCUUUCUCUGCACGGCGUAAUUGGCCUUUAAAUGCGGAGGAUGCAGCCACUGAUGCACAGAGUGUGUUUUAAUCAACAGAUCCUCCAAAUCAAACAAAACAAAAUGCUGUAUUUCCUUCUGAAGCUACGGUCAUCAGGGUCACCCAGCUGGGGUUCAGCUCAUCCGCUGUGCAGGUCAUAUUGUUUUGGGAAUGGUGACACACGUCCUUUUGUGAGUCAUUGGCUGUCCACCUAUUCAGCUGUUCAGGUUUGUGAUAUACUUACCUUAUCUCAUUCACAUAAUUCUAACAGGAGCAACACUGGGUUCAUUUUACUGAGCAACAAUGGGGAGAAAACCACGUGAUGGAAGAUUACAUGCUGCUUCCUCUGGACCGAAGCUCCAGUCUGUGUUCUGACGUUUGUAAGAGUGAAACUACUGGAUAUUUUUAAAAGAUAAGAAAUUGAAGAGACGGUUUCCAGCCUUGCUUGUGGUGACAAAAUGAGCUUUUAAAGAGACCUCGGGACAUUUCCAGCUGUGUUUGUAGAGACCAAAACAGGCAUUUUUAGCCAAAAUGUGAUGUUUUCCAAAUCCAACCCAGUCCAGUUCUUUUUGUGCCUAAACCUAACCAGAGAAUAAACGCUGCGUUGUGACAAGAGAAGCAAAAGUUUACCUCAACAAAUGUAAAAUGGAAAGAUUUAACUUACAUGUGGAUUUGCGGUUGUGUACAUUUUUUCUGCUGACUGAUUUGGAG